rnacentral:lncRNA from 1 species
GCCCAGGGCUCCACGGUCCCUACCUAGACCCCACGCGAUUCCUCACCUGAGACCCCGUCCCACACAGCCCCAGCUGGGGCAAACAGCCCCCUCCCCACUUCCCAUCUGUAAUUUGCAGGGAGAUCGACGACGUGAUCAGCGCAGACCUGCAGUCUCUCCAGGGCCCCUACCUGCCCCUGGAGCUGGGGUUGGAGCAGCUGUUUCAGGAGCUGGCUGGAGAGGAGGAAGAACUCAAUGCCUCUCAGCUCCAGGCCUUACUAAGCAUUGCCCUGGAGCCUGGUGAGUUGGCUGGGAUAGGGGCAGGAGGAGGGGUCUUAGCCAGGGGUCCUGCAACCAGAGCCGGUGCCACCCUAUGUCUAUGAACCCACCGCGCUGCUGGGAGUUGGGCUCAGGAAGCCAGGGCUCAGCCUGGCAGCAUCUCCCUGCAGGGGAUCUUGUGUGGGCCCCGUGACCUGGGCCACGGCUGCUCGCAAGCUCCCCUUCCGCUGAAAGGCAAGGCUGCCUUGAGCACAGACUGGGCACCCCC